GAUGAAGAACGUAGCGAAAUGCGAUAAGUAAUGUGAAUUGCAGAAUUCAGUGAAUCAUCGAAUCUUUGAACGCACAUUGCGCCCCCUGGUAUUCCGGGGGGCAUGCCUGUCCGAGCGUCAUUACAACCCUCAAGCUCAGCUUGGUGUUGGGCCCCGCCGCCCCGGCGGGCCCUAAAGUCAGUGGCGGUGCCGUCCGGCUCCGAGCGUAGUAAUUCUUCUCGCUCUGGAGGUCCGGUCGUGUGCUCGCCAGCAACCCCCAAUUUUUUUCAGGUUGACCUCGGAUCAGGUAGGGAUACCCGCUGGACUUAAGCAUAUCAAUAAGCGGAGGA
rnacentral:misc_RNA from 1 species